UUGGGUUAAGUCCCGCAACGAGCGCAACCCACGUCCUUAGUUGCCAGCAUUCAGUUGGGGACUCUAGGGAGACUGCCGGUGACAAACCGGAGGAAGGUGUGGAUGACGUCAAGUCAUCAUGCCCCUUACGUCUUGGGCUACACACGUACUACAAUGGUCGGGACAAAGGGCAGCGAGCUCGCGAGAGCAAGCUAAUCUCGGAAACCCGGCCCCAGUUCAGAUUGCAGGCUGCAACUCGCCUGCAUGAAGGAGGAAUCGCUAGUAAUCGCAGGUCAGCAUACUGCGGUGAAUACGUUCCCGGGCCUUGUACACACCGCCCGUCACACCAUGGGAGUUGGUUUUGCCCGAAGUCAUUACCCUAACCGCUUGCGGAGGGGGAUGCCUAAGGCAGGGCUGAUGACUGGGGUGAAGUCGUAACAAGGUAGCCGUACCGGAAGGUGUGGCUGGAUCACC
rnacentral:rRNA from 1 species